rnacentral:rRNA from 1 species
GAUGAACGCUGGCGGCGUGCUUAACACAUGCAAGUCGAACGAAGCAAUUUAACGGAAGUUUUCGGAUGGAAGUUAAAUUGACUGAGUGGCGGACGGGUGAGUAACGCGUGGGUAACCUGCCUCAUACAGGGGGAUAACAGUUAGAAAUGACUGCUAAUACCGCAUAAGCGCACAGGAUCGCAUGGUCUGGUGUGAAAAACUCCGGUGGUAUGAGGUGGACCCGCGUCUGAUUAGCUAGUUGGUGGGGUAACGGCCUACCAAGGCGACGAUCAGUAGCCGACCUGAGAGGGUGACCGGCCACAUUGGGACUGAGACACGGCCCAAACUCCUACGGGAGGCAGCAGUGGGGAAUAUUGCACAAUGGGCGAAAGCCUGAUGCAGCGACGCCGCGUGAGCGAAGAAGUAUUUCGGUAUGUAAAGCUCUAUCAGCAGGGAAGAAAAAUGACGGUACCUGACUAAGGAGCACCGGCUAAAUACGUGCCAGCCGCCGCGGUAAAAC